rnacentral:lncRNA from 1 species
AUAGAGAAGUCCGGGUUACCAUUUAUUUGGGUUGUGAGGAAACCCCCUUUAGAUGAAGAGCCGUUUGCAGAGGACAUGAUCCCUACCGAGUUUGAAGAACGAGUUUCAAAACAGGGUAUGGUUUUACGAGGCUGGGCACCUCAACUUAGGAUCUUGGGUCACUCAUCAGUUGGUGGUUUCUUGACUCAUUGCGGGUGGAGUUCCGUAAUUGAGUCUCUUGGAUUAGGUAAACCUCUGAUAUUGUUUCCUGGUGGAAAUGCAGAUUUUGGGUUGACUGCUAGGUUGAUGCAUUGGAAAAAGGUUGGAUUCGAAAUAGAAAGAAACGAUGUUGAUGGAUCAUUUAAGAGCGAUUUGGUGGCCGCGUGUAUUAAGCGAGUCAUGGUGGAUCCCGAGGGUGAGCAACUCAGAGCUAAUGCACUUGCAAUAAAAGAGAUUUUUGGCAAUGUAAAGUAACAAGUGCUUGUACGAGUUUACUCGAGCAAUUGAAAAUAUUUAAAUUUUAAUUUGUAUUAGGGUCAUGUGUCAUAUGCUUUGGGGGAAAACCUUUGGUUGAAGGAUCUUGUAAUAGUAACCAUGUAUGUUUUUGUUUGGAAUUAGUAUUAUUUCGUUUAAAAAAAUUGAAGUAUUUAUACUAUUCAUUGUGGGCAUCUUGAAAAUAAAAGAAAAUUAUGAAAAAAAAAUGAAGAUUUUCUUUAACAUUUUUGAUACUGUCGAGAUGUAAACAAUGUCAAUUUAAGUUGGUAUUUAUUAAAAUUUUUGAACUAGAUAAAAUAGUAAUUAUGACUAUUAGUGGAGAGGAUAGUGGAUAUUAUAGGAAAUUAAAAAGAUGGACUAAAUCGUAUAUGAUUGAAAAGUGAUGGAGCAAAAGUGUGAAUAAGAAUAAGAAAUGACUAGAUUAAAUGGAUGGGAAAUAGUGGAGGACUAAAAGUGAAAUAAAACCAUAAAAGUACAAAAUAGGGUGAUGAGAUUGAUAUUGAAUAACUACCAUUUGUUUGGAGUGAUGAUAAUUAGAUAUUUUUGUUUAAUUAAAUAUAUAAAAAAAAAGAGAGAGAGAAGAAAGUGAAAAGAUAUUUCUAAUAGAAAGAUAUAGAAAAAGGAAGAAAAGUAAACGCCAUCAUCUUUUCUAUCUUCUCUCUCACGUCUUCCACUCUCCAUUUCCACCAAAUUUUCUUUUCUUUCAUUUUAGUCCAUUUUCCUCCAUUUUCAACCCUUUCAAGUUUUAAACUUCUAAUUUUCUUCAUAAAUUUUUAGUGAAAUCAAGAGAACAACUUCUUGACCAGCUAAGUUUUAUGUGAAGUUAGCUAAAGUUCAUAGUUGAGGAAAGAGAAAAGAAGAGCUAGGGAUUUUGAGUAAGGUUAAGGUAAGAAUGACAAUGUAUUCUUGUAGGUUUUCAUAUUUAUCUCAUCAAAAUGCAUGGAAAUAUUAUGUGAUUUUUUUUAAAUAUUAAAUGCUGUAUAUAUGUUGUGUUAAUGAAGAGAAUGUCAAGAGGAGUGAACAUCAAGUUGAUAAAGGCAAAGAAAUAGCAAAGGAUUGAAGGAAGAAUGAAGGAUUUCAUUUCAAUCAAUUUUGUUAUAAGUAUAUCAAGAAUUUUACUUUACCUAAUUUAAACCCUAAAUGAAAAUAUGAUAAAUUGGUUUAGUAACAUUCAUAAGAUAUGUUUGUAGUUGAAAAUGAUGAUAUGUAUUUUGGAAAUUAUUUGAAAGUAAAAGGGUAUUCCUAUAAUGAAUUGAAAAGUGCAUGUGUAGUGAAAUUAGAGAAAAUGACUAAAUUGCAAAUAGUGUAAAAUUUAGAUAGGUGAAAUAGAUAUUGGGAGUAAUUAAGUGAAAUGUUGAAUGUUGACAAAAUAGAUGUCAAGUGAAAUUUGAUGAAUGGUUGAUUCUAUAUAAAAUUUUAAUUGUUUUCUUUGUUGAGAAAAUGUAAAUAAAUUGUAUAGUUUAAAUGUCCAAGUAGACAAUAAGAACUAGUAGGAUAUAAAUGGUAUGUCAUUAGGAAAAUUUCCAUGCAUGCAAGUGAUAGUGGCACUACGGUGCAAGUGAUAGCGGCACUACAGUGCAAGUGUUGUGGCACUUCGGUGCAAAAUGACAUUUGCACAUCCAUGCAAAUAAUAGUGACACUUUCGUGCAAAUUAUUGACAUUUGCACAUAUUCUACAUGUUCUAUUAAGUUUACAUUUGGGCAAUAAAAUUACAAGGCAAGUGAACUUAAAAAUGUCAUUGGUAAGCAACUUGUAACUUGUUGAAUUGGUACCUUACUAUAGUUAUUUUUGAAACAAUUUUGUUUAUGAUGAUAGUGAUUCAUGAAAGUUAUAUAUAUGUUUAUAUAUGUGUAUGUGUAAUGAAUUGAUUUUAAAUGCAAAGUUUAAUUCUUGAUAUGAUUACUAAGCUCUUGUGAGCUUAAUGCCUUUUUUUCAAACAAAUAGGUGAAGAUCGUUUUGAAGUUUUAGAAUGAAGAUCGUCUCCAACUUAUCUCAUCACAAAUCAAACUUGGAAGAUAUAGUAUGAAUCUAAAAUUUUGGGCAUUAGUUUUUGGCAUGUACAUAGGAAUAUAAUAGAAAUGUUCAUGGAUGAAUUCAAUGAAAGCUUUGGUGCUUUUGGUCCACUUUAUAAAUCUUGAAAUUGGGAUUUGUAUGUUUUGGAAUUGAGUUGAAUUAGGUGCUAUUUAAGGUUGAAAAUUGGCAUGCUCAAAUGAUUUGUUGGUUGAUAUAGAUGUUGUAUGCCAUAUAGAUGUUGUUCUAAGCGAUAGGGGGAAUUAAUUUGCUUAAGUUUUAAGGUGGCAGGAUUGAGGUCAUGACUUUGUACCACCGUGAGGUCAAGACGUGGAAUCUAUGAAGUCGCAAUGAGCACUUAAAAGUUUUGACUUUACAAUUUGGUCCCUAAACAACAUUCGAUCAUUUUGGGAGCUUUUAUAAGCUCAUUUUAAGCUCGGAUAAGUGCUUGAAUCAUAUUUUAAGCUUAACAACUUGAAAAAUAAUUAAAUUGAUUUGAAGUGAUCGUAGUUGCUUCGUCAACAAAUGUGACAUCCUGGUACCUUGGCUCGACAAUCGAGUCGAGUAAGGGGAGUUACAUUCUUUCCAUUCUUCUUUCGGGGUUUCAAUUUUUUUAGAUAAAGGGAGAGGGAAGGUUUUGUUUAUUAGUUUCGAUUACUAGGGGAAACCGUGGGAAUCAAGGGAAUAUGAAAAAAGAAAGUAGGAAGAGUUGAAAGAGGAUUUUUUUUCAAAAUUUAUUAUUAAGAUAAUUUGCUUUUCAAUUGCAUAAGAAUAAAUUCAAAAUUAAUUGAAUAAUGAGUUUCUAAUCUAGUGGUAAUUAAUAUUAAGUUUCAAUUUUUUAAUUUUUUCUAUAAUUUUUUUAAAAAAUUAAUAAUAAAAGAAAAGAAAAAGAUUAGGGUCAAAUUGACAAAAGUUAUAAAGGUUAAGGGGUUAAAUUUGUGAAUAUACCUAAUUUUUAACGGAGUUAAUUGAAAAAUUAACAAAGGGAUUAGAAAUGAGAAAAUUGAAAAAUAGAGGAACAAAUUUUGAGCAAAUAAAAGUAGAAAUAAUAAAUCUAUAUAGAUCAGUAAGUAUCUAUAUAGAUCAAUAAGUAUAGGGACUAUCCUCAAAAUUUAACCUAAUAUGUAGUUAUAUAUAGAGUCAAGAUAGCUAACAACGGACAGUGUGAUGGAUCGGUACCUUCUCAAUUUUCUCUAGAGGAAAACCAAGAUCAAAUGUGUGCACUCCUUCUGGUAUUGUUUAAGAACCUUUAAUUGAUAGGCUAAACUCCGCCUAGUUACUAGGUACAUUUUUUCUCACUCACUUGUUAAAAAGUUAUAAAAUUGUUAAUUGAUUAUUUAAAUUUUUUUGUUAUUAGCAGUUAAAUGACUAAUAGAAGAUGACGUGAUAGUUUUAAAAUUGGCAUAAUAGCAACUUUAACUCUCAAUUCUCAACAUUUAUAUAUUAUGUAAAUUUAGUCUUGAUUCUAAAAAAAUUUAACCCUCAAUAUUUACAUAUUGUGUAAUUUGACCUUUUUUUUUAUUACUUUUCACUUAAAAAGCUAAAAAAAAUCCAAGAUAAUAAUUUUUAUAUUUCCUCAUUCUUUUAAAAUUAACUCUCAAUGUCACAAACAAAAGUAAAAAUAUACAAUGUAUAAAUAUUGAGGGUUAAUUUUUUUGGAAUCAAAACUAAAUUAACACAAUGCACAAAUGGUGAAUGUUAAAGUUACUAUUAUGUCAAUUUUAAAAAUUGUCAAUUUAUCAUUUCGUUAUUAAUUUAAUGGGUGGUGAGUUUGGUUAAAAAAAAUGUUGAAUAAUUAUUUUAUUUUGUAAUUUUUUAGAAUUGAAUGAUAAAAAAGAAAAUGCUAAUAAUUAUAGUUUAGCUAAAUGAUAAUUGCCAAUUACUGCUUUUUCUAAUUUGUAGCGUUUUCCUUGUCGUGAGCAAAUUCAACGUAUGGCUGUAGCUAGUGACUAUGAUACACUGUGGACGUAUGUUAUGAUUUGCUGGAAAAUUUUUGUACAUUGAGAAUAGAUUCUAUCAUGCAAAUAUGUCUUCCAAAUUUUAUCUAUAUACAGUGCUGGUGCAGGGACUUCUUAAACCAUUGGAUUGUUGCCAAUACAUUACUAUGCCUGGCACCGAAUAGGAUGCCUUUGGCUGCUACAUUCUUUGAUGGGGUAGAGGACGUGAUCUUCAAGGAAGCUGAAGCAGUAAUUUUUGGGUUAGGUUAGAAAUUUUUUUUUAGAGGUUGGAAUUAAACUGUAUAUUUUUAUAAUAGUAAAAAUAUAAUUUUAUUAUUUUUAUAAUUUAUUGUUUUUAUAAUUUUUAAGUGAUUAAACUAAAUUUUUAUUAUUUUUGAAGAAAUAAAAGUACAAUUUGAUCAUUUAUAAUUUAAAAUCUUAUAAAUUAUAAAAAAAUCUAAAUAAAAUAUUUUCCAUUUUGAGUGCCAGGCCCGUCACCCCGACUUCACCACUGGGUACAUGAGCAACAAAUCUUGUAAGUAAAAAUGGAGAGUGAUUACGUUGUUUUAAUUAGAUAUUUUACCUGUUAAAAGUCGCAUAAUAUUAAACUUGGGGUAUUUGAUUGAUUAUAUCAAAUCUUUCUGCCCAAAGAUUCAAGCUAUUGAAAGUAGGUAAUCAAUCCUCUCAUUUUUUUUUAGCUUGAUAUGCUUUACUUAGGAGUGAUAAUGUUGCUACUUAGUGGCAUGAUAUGUCCAUUAUUUCUUAUGUAUCGAUCAUAUAUUUUAUAAAUGAUAAAUUUGGAUGCAUUUUUUUUAAUUGUCAUUUGCUAUUUAAUGAUUUUUUUUUAAAUGAGGCACAUGUAUUUUUCAUUUUCUUUGAAAAAAUCAUUCGUAAAUAUUUUCUAAUUAAAUCAAAGAUAAUUAAAAAUAAUAAUCUUAAUUCUUAAAAGUUAAAAUUUAAAUUUCGUAAAGUAAGUAAAUUGCUUAAAAAUAACAAAUAACAAAAAUUGAAGAAUUGGGGGAGUAGGGGAAUAUUAAACCUUAAUUCUCCAAUGUUGUAAACAAGAUCACCUCACCUGUUCAUGGGUCACGACACUCGGUUCGGUCUGAAGGCCGGCCUAAAAUGUAGGAGGGUUUGGACAAAAAUAUAGGCCCGGAAAAUGAGUUUGGACAAAAAAUAAGGUCCGUUUAAAAAACGGAUCAAGCCCUGAGUAAGACAUUUUUAGUUUGGGCCCGGCCCGAAUUCAUUAAAAGACAAAAAAAUCUGUUUUUUUAAUAUUAUUUUCUUGUUGUUUUCUCCUUAUUUUACUACCAUUUUACUAUUAUGUUGCUACUAUUUUGUUGUUAUUGUUUGGAUAUUGUAUAAAACUUAUUUUAUUGUUAAUUUUGUUAUUAUUUUUAAGACAUUUGUUAAUUUUUUUAUUAUUUUAGAAACAUUUGCUUGUUAAGUUGCAUCUAUCUUAGUAUUAUUUAAGUAUACAUAUUUUUUAUAAUUUAUUUUCAAUUUGUUAGGAAAUAUUUAUUUUGUUAUUUUUAGUAUUUUUAUGUAUAUAUAUUUUUAAAAAUUAUAUAAAAAUUAAUAUGGGUGGGUCGAGUCAGGCCUGAGUUUUAACAAUUUUAUCCAGGUCGGUCUUGAGUAAAAUUUUAAGCACAUUUAUUGGACUGGGGCCUAGCAAACAGGCCUAAAUUUUUAGCUGAGCCCGGCCAGCAAUGCACACCUCUACCCCUGGCCCACUUGGGUUAUAAAGCCAUCUCUUAGCUCAGCUUGAAAAUUUAUUUCACCAACCAUUCCAUUAUAAAGUAUAAACAAAAUACCACACCACACACGAAUAUAUAAAUUAUAUACCUCAAUUAAGCAGAUAAAUUAUUUAAAAAGCAAUUAUUUAAAUAAAACCAUUUCACAUGGCAUCUUUUAUAUACAAAACCCCAAUUAUUGAAGAACCAACGACUCCCCUAACCAAAAAGCAAAACAACAUCUCUGGCAAAAUAGUUUGAAUUUCUUCUACUCAUGGAUUACUCCAGCAGCAGAAAACAGCUUCAUAUAGCAAUGUUCCCAUGGCUAGCUUACGGUCACAUCGCCCCAUAUCUCCAAGUUGCCAAGUUCUUAGCUCAAAAGAAUCACCAUCUCUACUAUGUCUCCACCCCUAAAAACAUUAGCCGCCUCCCUCAGCUUCCCCCAACUCUCUGCUCCAAUAUUACCUUUAUACCUCUUUCUUUGCCUCAUGUUGAUGGCCUGCCACCUGGAGUUGAGUCCACCUCCGAGUUGCCCAUUCACAAAGUUCCUUACCUCAAAAAAUCAUUUGAUAAACUUGAAACACAGUUGACUGAGUUCCUUGAAAGGUCGCCGCAAAUUAAAUUGAUUAUUCACGAUUUUGCUCCGCAUUGGUUACCGCCUACGGCGAAUCAACUCGGCAUCAACCUAGUUUACUUCAGCAUAUUAAAUGCUUCAUCGAACGCUUUCUUAGGCUCUCCAUCAGAAAUUCUCGGUGGAAGUAGAAAAUCACCUGAAGAUUUCACGGUGGUCCCGACGUGGAUGGAUUAUCCUAAUAACAUAGCUUUUAAGCUCCAUGAAACGGUGAGUCACAAAGAGUGCGAGGAUAUUGUAUCCGAUUUUGAACGUUGUGCGACAGUGCUUUUAAAUUGCAAAAUUCUGACCUUGAGAACUUGCUAUGAAUUCGAACCUGAGGCACUACGUGUGCUUAGUAAGAUUCACCAGAAACCAAUAAUUGUUCCACUUGGCUUGUUGCCGCCACCACUAACGAGCGUAGAUGAUAAAGGAGACGAAAAUUGGGAAGCGUUGAAGAAAUGGCUUGAUAGUAAGCAAGAGAAGUCAGUUUUUUACGUUGCACUCGGUAGUGAGGUGAGUCUAAGUCAAGAGUCCAUGCACGAGUUGGCAUUUGGGAUAGAGAAGUCUGGGUUACCAUUUAUUUGGGUUGUGAGGAAACCCCCUUUAGUUGAAGAACAGUUUGCAGAGGACAUGAUCCCUCCCGAGUUUGAAGAACGAGUUUCAAAACAGGGUAUGGUUUUACGAGGCUGGGCACCUCAACUUAGGAUCUUGGCUCACUCAUCAGUUGGUGGUUUCUUGACUCACUGCGGGUGGAGUUCCGUAAUUGAGUCUCUUGGAUUAGGUAAACCUCUGAUAUUGUUUCCCGGUGGAAGUGCAGAUCUUGGGUUGAUUGCUAGGUUGAUGC